UCUCGGUCCCCCACAGCCAGCAACGGAGUUGGCAUGAUGUCAAUGGGUGGUCGUGAUUCACACACACUCUCUAACCUCCCUCCACUCCUACACCCUGGCUUCUGGCUCUACAGACUCUGGGUACAGUAACUGGCUUACUUCCUAAGGACUAUAUGGCGCAGGUUCCGGCCAGCCAGAGGCGUGCCUCACCUGCACGCAUGCGCACUCCCUAGUGCUGGAUUCGUGGGCUCCUGACUUGCAAUAAGUGAUACAUGCAGCUGACUGGAAUGUUAUGUACUCGGCAGCCUGGAGAACUGCGUGAUUCCCCAGGGGAAUCUAGAGAUCUGUGAGCUAAGAAUAAACAUUUGUCGUUAUAAGCUUUGAAAGCAUAGUCGUACUGUCAGAAAGGGAAAGACAGGUAACAAUUGGUCUGUUAUUCUGCCUUGUUUAAGAGAAUAAAAGUAAUAUUAAGGGUUUAUUAAUGGGCUAAGGUUUAUUGCGCAUCACUAUGAAUAUGCCAUGGAUCAAAGAGUUUAAAUGAAUUAUCAGAAUAAUCC
rnacentral:lncRNA from 1 species